rnacentral:rRNA from 1 species
AGUGAACGCUGGCGGUAGGCCUAACACAUGCAAGUCGAACGGCAGCACAGUAAGAGCUUGCUCUUACGGGUGGCGAGUGGUGGACGGGUGAGGAAUACAUCGGAAUCUACUUUUUCGUGGGGGAUAACGUAGGUAAACUUACGCUAAUACCGCAUACGACCUACGGUUGAAAGCAGGGGAUCUUCGGACCUUUCGCGAUUGAAUGAGCCGAUGUCGGAUUAGCUAGUUGGCGGGGUAAAGGCCCACCAAGGCGCCGAUCCGUAGCUGGUCUGAGAGGAUGAUCAGCCACACUGGAACUGAGACACGGUCCAGAGGCCUACGGGAGGCAGCAGUGGGGAAUAUUGGACAAUGGGCGCAAGCCUGAUCCAGCCAUACCGAGUGGGUGAAGAAGGCGUUCGGGUUGUGAAGCCCGUUUGUUGGGAAAGAAAAGCAGCAGGUUAAUACCACGCUGUUCUGACGGUAACCAAAGAAGAAGCACCGGCUAACUUCGUG